AUUCUUUGCUCUCGUCUUUUAUUUCUUCUUCUGUCACAAAAUCUCUUUAUUUUAGAGGAAAAACACCAAAGAAUUUGAUCUUUACGAUAGCCGUUUUUGUUACAUUUUCUCCAUUCAUACCAAGAAAAUCUGCAAAUGCUGGCCAACUGUAAUCGGGAAAAGAAAGCGCCGGUUUAUAUCAAGUCGUGAAUUUUGGUCGCGUCAUCUAGGCACGACUACGCAAAGCUUUUUCUUCUUUCAUUUUAUUUCACAGAUCAAAUUUAAGAAAUAAAUAAAACGAUACAUUCUGUAAUAAUUAAUUAUGCCUCAUUAGUUUCUCAUAUUCAUUAAUCGACGAAUUAAUGAGGAGAGUCUUGUGCAUUCAAUUACACAGUUUGAAAUGUUAAAACGGGUCAAGACCUAUUGACUUUUAAAGACAACGAGACAGUUCCGUCAAGGGUCACAUCGAACAUCGACUGUGCUCGUGUCGUGUGUCGCCAUGGUUACCCCCGAACGAUUGUUGAGUCGAACUAUUGAACAAUUUCUCGUCCCCCACUCCCCCAGACGGUUAUUUGGUUAUAGCGUAUGGUGGAUUCCUAUUGCCCCCUUCUCGGUUCGUAGUUCGUACUCGAUGGAAUAGAAUAAGAACAAAAAAUAAAACAGGGGGGGGGGGGGAAUAAAAUCGUUUUUGGUUGGUGAGUGCACAGGACGGAUAGUAUAGCAUACCACCUACACCGUCAACGCUUUGGAGCCGUUGUAGUCGCCUUCGUAACGACGACGACAUCGAAUGAGCGCUUCCAUAGUCUCCGGUCUUUUGUGAUUCCGUGCCACACCUUCAUUACCGCAUACGCAAAUUACUGGCGCAAAAAAACUAUUGUUAUCGUCACUACACCACCACCGCCACCACCGCCCCCAAUGCAGCGUAUUUUCAUCUAAUUAGUCACAGUGCUGCAGGGUGUAUGUGUGCGUGUGUGUGUGUGUAGUGGUUGCACAAAAGGUUCGACGUUAACUCGAUCCGGAAAUGAAAGAUCCAGACGGUGUGUCGUCUAAUAGGCCAUCAGCAAUCAAGACGCGCAGCAAUAGUGGGGCUGGAUUGGGCGGCGUCGAGGCCAUUUUCUUGAGCUCAGCCGACGCCGACGAAGAAGGAACCGGUGGAGAGAAGACGUCCAUCGUCACCCAAGAGCUUUGGAGGCAAAAACACGCCCAGCAGGAAGAAGAAGCGCAACGUACGAAAAAAGACCUUUCAUGGAAGAAGGACCAGCAAAAGCAACAAUGGGCCGAUGCGUCGCAAAAACAGGACCAACCGAGAGCCAAGGAUGACAAACGAGUAUCGAACAAACAAGCAGCCGAACAACGGACACCUGGCGAGUCGACGUCGUCGGGGAAACGGACCAAACAAAAACAUCAACAAAAGCACGCGGACGCGGAAGAGGUUGAGGCAGACCGGCAGCCUCCCAGCGCCAGCGGCCGCAAUUCUUUGCGCAAAACGCGGUCCGUGACGGAUGUGGAUGGAGAGCGCGAGAGCCAAGUCUCGUCGGCCGCGUCCUCGGCCGCGGCCCGGCACGGAGGUCGCCGCAUGAGCAUCUCCGUUGCCAGUGCGCAUCAUCAAUAUUCGAUGGGCUCGUCUUCCAGAGACUCGUCUCGACGCAGCAGCGCCGCCAGCAUCGUCAUUUCCGUUUCGAGACCGGAUUCGCCAUUGCCGCAUCUCAUCCAGCGCAUAGGCGAAGAAAGCUUGUCCAUAGAGUUCCUACGAUUCAGAAGAACGGCCACAGCUGUUCAUUCAGCCUCGAAAUUCCGCCAUCCGCACAUCGUCGUCGUUCAAGCGGCCGACGGCACGGCCAACGUGAAAAUGAGCGGCCAAGAAACGGCCGCAAACCUCAUCCGUAUGCACAAAGAGCGAAGGAACUCCGUGCCGACCGUGCCGCGUUUAGACCUGAAGGAAGAGAACGAAAAGGACAAGGGCAAACACAAGAAGAAUAAAGACGGUUCACUGGCCACAAGCAACAAGCGUUUAGCGGACGGCCAGCAGAGCCGACGCAAUAGACGCCGUCGUUCCAGCACGGGCUCAAGCAUCCAGGGCUUCUACAUGCCGGCCAGUAGGCCGUCGUCCGCCAUGGCAGCGGAUGCGGCCACCUUCGAUCCCGCCGCGUCCCGUCCUUCCUCGGCCGCUACCAUAGUCCAACUGGGCAAGUUGUCGAGACCUUGGACGCCGGCCCGUUCGCCGUCGCCCGUCUCGGGAGCCGGUUCAGCCAACAGAUACGGCGCUGGAAGCCGAAACUUGUUUCGCAGCCGCACUCCCACAUCCAUGGCCACUCCGCUGCAGGCGCUCAACACCAAAGUCAACAACAUCCUGGGCUGCGCGUCCAACAUCCUCGAUUUUUACCAGCUGAGACCCGACAUCAAAAAGGAGCCGGACCAGCAUCGUCAAAAUCGUUUGCUCAAAUCGAUGAAAAUGAACGAGGCGGCUAAAGCAGAUGAUAAGAAAGAAGAGACGGCCCAGUCCCGGCUGAUCAAGUUUCGCAAAAAAGCCGGCCAGCAGGCGGACAAUCAGAGAGACGCUAAACUGGUCGUCAAAUCAGCCGGCCACCAGCCGGUCGCGCGCGCAGCACCGGCGGAAACGAGCAAACGAAACCAGAAACAACAGGCCAAUGCACAAAAAGCGGCGAGCAAAGCAGACGGCAGAGAAAAGGUGGUCGCACCGCAAACAGGUAAAGCGACCCAAGAGCCGGAAGUAGACGAGCAAAGAACUAAACAAGAAAAGAGCCAAAGGCAUCAGAAGGCAUCGGAUAAAGACGUGUCGAAAAGCGACACCAAACUGCCAAUGCUGCCGCCAUCGAUGACAGCCACCCAAAAGGCUUUCAACAGUUUGUCGCUGAAAAUGAGUAAACACAAGAAAACGGCACCGCCGGGAAAUUUGUCCGUCACGGCCGGUGGCGGUUCGUGCGUGUCGCUCAAUUCGGCCGUGUCUUCGCACUCGUCGGGCACCAACCCCCAAACCAAAGCGAUGCCCCUGUUGAAAUCGAUGAUGGAGAAGCAGAAGGCGAAGACGACCAUCGUGGCAGCCGUCGCUUUCUCGGCAAAGUCGUCGACAUCGUCGAUGACGAAAUUCAAAAUCAAAAAAGUGAUGAAAAUGGCCAAAACGGCCGGACUCGUCGCCCGCCGAAAGCCGAUCAAUACGAGCAGUCACAACCAGUCGACGCCAAACAACGCGAGUGGCCAAGGUCCGCCGACGUUGGUCAACUUUUUCAAGCGCAGCAAUCGCACAAACAACGCAGACAGUCGCGUCCCCAUCAAAUACGAGACGUUCACGGACAAGGAUCGAGCCGCCGCCGUCCUCCUAGGAGACGCGGACAUUAAAACGACGUUAGAAAAACAAUUGAAAAGCGAAAGGGGGCGUUACGUGUUGCCAAAAGAGAGUCCGGCCCAAGUUUAUUUGGCGCAAGCGGAUUUCGAGAUGCGGAUCGGUGGAUUGGCUACGGCAAAGAAUUUACUCAACAAGGCAUUGGAAUUGCAACCGGGAGACAAAAAUGCCUUGUGCUCACGGUCCCGUUGCCGAUUGCAGAUGGGAGACACCAAGGGAGCGCUGGACGAUGCAGAGGAAGCUCUGACUAACGACAGUUCCUACGUUAGAGCUACGUAUCAAAAGGCCGAAGUUCUCUACCAAAUGGGUCGAUUCGAAGAGGCGUUGGUCUUUUAUCACAAAGGCUGUAAACAACGACCGGACAUGGAGCUGUUCCAUCAAGGUGUUCGCAAGGCCCAAGAAGCCAUCGAAAUUUCUCUAGGAGUCAAGCCGCCAACGCUGCAUCAACAGCAGCAGUAUCGCAGCACCACUUCGAGCAGUAAAAGAAAUACAACGUGGGCCAAAGGAUCGUCGUCUCGAUUGCCACCACUCGGAAAGAAUUCAAUGGCCGGUGGCCACCAAAUGAAUCAGUUUAGUCAACAACUGGAGCAGCGACUAUGGCCAGCAGGACAGGGCACUCAUCGAGACUCUUCUCUGCUCGGAGAUCUUCACGUCGACAAAAUUUACCUGGAAAGGUUACUCGAAAAUCCAGGGUUACACAAUCAGAGCGCGUCCAGCCUGAAAAUCAUCCAUCACGCCAAGGAGACUCUAGAGUACCUGAAGGGAAGGGAGAAUUUUUGGAAACAACAGCAACCGUUCCACAUUGUUUAUACAAAAGAACGGACCAACAUCAAAACGCAUCAUCGACGACGACGACGCAUUCCUUCGUCAAAUGACAACACGACAUCGACCGAAGACUCGACAAGCGACACCAAACAAUCAGGAGACGCAAGUAGCAGUCGCGAUAGCGGCGGCGGUGGUAGCAGCAGUGGCAAUUGCACUAGCCGUUUGGCGGAGGAAGAGUCGUCAUCGUCGGGAGCCUCAACUGAAAGAGAGGAGCCGCCGAACGCUCGCUGCUCAUCGGACGAAGUGUCGCGAAUUCUAGCCGUUGCUGCCGAAGAAGAUGAGAACGAAUGUUGCGACGGUAACGAGGAUUUGGAAGAAUGGCGACAAGUGGUCGACGACAUGACUGAAUGCAUCGAGAAGCGGCAAAUUGGGCAAUGUGCCGACAUCUUUCUAGCCAAAUGUUGCGGAUGGGCGACUCGAGACGAGGAUUUGAUUGGCGAAAUCGAAGCUAAAAUGAGUUUGCUGCGACUACACGGCCAGCAACAAAGCCAAUGCAAAGACGAUGGCAAUACUAACGAAAAAAUGCAUUUGGCCAUCGAAAUAGCCGUCCUCUACUUGGCCGAUGGGCAACAAGAGUUGUCCAAGACUUGCGCUCAACAGGGCUUAGCAUUGGCCGAACGGACAGCCGAUGUCGGCGCUCUCCUACAACUUUGGCUACUCAUGGCGGCGUUAGAAGCGACGAGCGGCAAUUGGGACAAUGUCGAAACCUGUUUGAUCAAAGCUCGGCGCAUUUUCAACGGGGAAACUGAGGAGAACGAAACAGAGUCGCAAAAUCCCGGCGAGGUCGUCAACCCUGGAGAGGGUUUGAGCUGCAAUUGAGUAGGCAUUCAAAAAUUGGCGCGUUUCAAAAAGAAAAUAAAAUAAAAAUAAAAUAAAAAGAGCACACACAAAGAGAGUGUGGGAACGCCUAAAAAGACAAGCACCCAAGCCUCUAAAGACGGUCGUUAGAAAUAGAUUCAUCAUCCUAAACGAUUUCAAUGUUGUUUUUCUAUACACCAAAAGCGAGUCAAUGGAGCUGUCAGCGAGUGCAUCGCUUCACAUUCUCACGACGAUUUAGCGCACAUUUGACAUCACUUGCCCGUUUUCGCUUCAUCACCUGACGUCGUCCUGUAGCCAAUUUUUUUUCUUUUCUAAUCAACAUUUAUUUUCUAAACAAACAUUUUUCAAAAUUGUAGUGAUCAUCGUGUUCCCCUUUUUCUUCUUACUGAAAUGAAACCCUCAAUUUCCAGUCGCACAUAAUGUACUCCUGAUCGAUUGUCGUUACUACAUACAAGCAAAUAAUCAAA
rnacentral:misc_RNA from 1 species